GAUCCUUGUUUGUCAAAGCUCCAGCCCCUGGGGACCCCAGACGCCCCUGUGUUUUGCACAUGAAUAGGUGGAGAUUUCCUGAGACCAUCUUGCCAUGAAAAUGCACAUUUCUCACCAAAAGGCUCCAAAUCUGGGCACCACAGACUCCAGCAAAGAGCCAGGCUGACCGUGCCCCAGGUGUGAAGGUGGCUGGACCCUCCCAGGGGCUGCCUGGAUCCCAGCCAGCUGGAGGAAGCCACCCAGGUGUCUGUGAGGAGCCAGCACCCUGAGGUUGCCAAACAAACCCAUGGCCCUCUCCGCAGACAGGAGGAGGCGUGGAGUUUGGAACCACCUCCCCAGACUCCAGCUGCCUGGCAGAGAUCUUCAGGGCUGGGGGUGAACCUAGAAACCAACCACCUCUCUAGCCCGUGAAUGGAACCUCAUUUGGAAAUAGGGGCUUGGCAGAGGCAAUGAAAGCUAAGAUGAGGUCCUGCUGGAAUUCUGGGACGAGGCUAAAUCCAGUGACUGGUGUCCUCAUAAGAAGAGGGAAAUCUGGACACACAGACACACAGAGGAGAAGGCCAUGUGGUGAUGGAGGCAGAAUCGAGUGAUGCAGCUGCAAGCCAAGGAAUGCUGGCAGCCAGCAGCAGCCAGAAGAGGCAAGGAAGGACCACCCCCCAGAGCCUUCUGAGGGAGCAGGGCCCUGCUGACACCUUGAUUUCUGCCUUCUGCCCUCCAGAACUGCAAGACAAUACAUUUCUGUUGUUUAAGGCUGCCUGGUUUGUGGUCAUUUGUCACAGCUGCCCUGGGAAAACCAGCUGGGUGAAGUGCAGGGGUGGGGAAGAUCCUUCCAGGCAGG
rnacentral:lncRNA from 1 species